rnacentral:rRNA from 1 species
CCUACGGGAGGCAGCAGUGAGGAAUAUUGGUCAAUGGGCGCGAGCCUGAACCAGCCAAGUAGCGUGAAGGAUGACGGCCCUACGGGUUGUAAACUUCUUUUAUAAAGGAAUAAAGUGAGGCACGUGUGCCUUUUUGUAUGUACUUUAUGAAUAAGGAUCGGCUAACUCCGUGCCAGCAGCCGCGGUAAUACGGAGGAGCCGAGCGUUAUCCGGAUUUAGUGGGGUUAAAGGGAGCGUAGAGGGGUUGUUAAGUCAGUUGUGAAAGUUUGCGGCUCAACCGUAAAAUUGCCAUUGAUACUGGCAGUCUUUAGUACAGUUGAGGUAGGCGGAAUUCGUGGUGUAGCUG